GAAUAAUCGUCGAGCUGACAGGAAAGGAGGGAAAAUGUUGCAGCCUUGGGCAAUGUUGAAUUAUCUUCCUUAACGGGAAAAAUUUUACGUAUAAAGACUAACCUCAGUAAUUUAAAACACUAUAUCGAGGGGAACAAAGAAACAGUUAAAAAACCUAAUAAUAUGGUACAUUGUGAAACUAUAGUAGGUGUUCAAGAUCAAGGUAAUAUAUACAGUUAAUUCAUAAAAAUAAUAUUAAACAAAUAAUUAAGUUUGUA